GGCCGGUUAGCUCAGUUGGUUAGAGCAUGGCGCUAAUAACGCUAAGGUUGCAGGUUCAAUUCCUGUACGGGCCA